UACAGGGGGUGCAAACGUUGCUCGGAAUCAUUGGGCGUAAAGCGCACGUAGGCGGUCUGUUAUGUCGGAUGUGAAAGCCCUCGGCUCAACUGAGGAAGUGCAUCCGAAACUGGCAGGCUAGAGUACUAAAGAGGGUUGCGGAAUUCCCGGUGUAGAGGUGAAAUUCGUAGAUAUCGGGAGGAACACCGGUGGCGAAGGCGGCGACCUGGGUAGAUACUGACGCUGAGGUGCGAAAGCGUGGGGAGCAAACAGG
rnacentral:rRNA from 1 species